UACGUAGGGUGCAAGCGUUAAUCGGAAUUACUGGGCGUAAAGCGUGCGCAGGUGGUUAUGCAAGACAGAUGUGAAAUCCCCGGGCUCAACCUGGGAACUGCAUUUGUGACUGCAUGGCUAGAGUGCGGCAGAGGGGGAUGGAAUUCCGCGUGUAGCAGUGAAAUGCGUAGAUAUGCGGAGGAACACCGAUGGCGAAGGCAAUCCCCUGGGCCUGCACUGACGCCCAUGCACGAAAGCGUGGGGAGCAAACAGG
rnacentral:rRNA from 1 species